rnacentral:lncRNA from 1 species
UCUGGUCCACUUCCCUUUCCCCCUGGUUGCUUGCUUUUGUUGUUACAUGUUAAAUUGCUUUAGUAGGCUCUUGCAUCUAGUCGAGCAUGCUAAGUGCUACGUGCUACGUGUUUACGAGCGUUUUGGCAUGUCUACUUGCUUUCAUAACCAUGAAUGAAUGGAAUGGAUGAAUGUACGUUUCCGCUAGUCCAACGCUAGUCGGAAUUCAUAGAUGGGCUAGUCCAACGCUAGACCCAAUAGGAUUUUUCCUUGGGUUUUCAUUAAUGCAUUAUUUGCCUGUUCACUACAUAUCAUGCAUUUUUUCUUAGUUUUAUCAUCUGGCAUGCUCCUCGAUUCCCCUUUCCCGUCACUUUAGGUUUUGCAUCCCAUACUAGCUAUAGGGUUCAUUUUGCUUGAGUGUUCCCCUUCCGAUAAGGGAAACGAGCGAGUGUGGCUACUCGAUAGCCUUAGCACGCUAGUUUUGCCUUCCAAUCAAAGGGAAAAUCAAGUCACGAUUUAGGUCUCCCCGUACCCAAUAUGCAUGAAUUCCCUAGGCUCAUGCAUUCUCAAUCCACCCUAUCAUUACACUUUCACUUUUGUCUCAUCUGCACACAUGCACCUUUUUAUCACCUUCACUUGCACACGAACACUUUUUUUUGUCUCCACUAGCACACGAACCCUUUUAUCUUCACUUGCACACGAACAUUUUAUCUUCACUCGCACACGAGUACUUUCAUCUGCAUUUGCACACCUUCACUCUUAUCUUAUUACUUUUAUCGUUCCUCUCACUUCACAAACUCACACUUUCACAUGGCAUGCAUUCCACUCAUUUUUCACGUCAUUUAGGUUUAGGUGUGACCUCUCCAAAAGGAUCAUUGUUGGGCUUCACAAUUAAUGUGAUUGGCAUCACUCAACCUUUGAAGAGAAAUUUCCCCCAUGUCCCCC